UACGUAGGGUGCAAGCGUUGUCCGGAAUUAUUGGGCGUAAAGGGCUCGUAGGCGGUUUGUCGCGUCGGGAGUGAAAACUCAGGGCUUAACCCUGAGCCUGCUUCCGAUACGGGCAGACUAGAGGUAUGCAGGGGGAGAAUGGAAUUCCGGGUGUAGCGGUGAAAUGCGCAGAUAUCAGGAGGAACACCGGUGGCGAAGGCGGUUCUCUGGGCAUUACCUGACGCUGAGGAGCGAAAGUGUGGGGAGCGAACAGG
rnacentral:rRNA from 1 species